rnacentral:lncRNA from 1 species
AGGAGGAAAUCCUAUGUGUCUGCUCCCGGAGCUGCCACAACCCAUCUUCCCACAACUCGGAACUUGGAAAAAGGAACCCAGGACACGACUUUGCUUUUCUUUUGGACCUAGUUGAUACAAGUUAACAGGAUAUGCUUCUGGCCUGUUUCUGGAUUCUAAGGGUAGAACCAGCAUAAAACUAGUCAGUCCAAGUAUUUCUAAAGAUCCACAGACACAGUUCUCCUGGAUUUGGGAAGCCUAGAGAUAUUAGCACAAUAAUUAAGGCCCAAAGGCAGCACAUAAGAGAGGGAAAGCCAUGCGCGUGGAGUCCAGCACAUCACCCAGAAGGCAGAUGUUCUAUCUCCAUUUUACUCAUUAAAACAAACAAAACCACACCUGGAUUGCCUGCAACUUUUAAAAGCCUUUCCACUGCACAGUGAAAGAAAACCACAAACUCCUUGUUUAAUAAGUGGGAUCACGUGCUUUUAACACGAGGAAAAGGUCAAUCUGAAGCAACUGAUAUGGAACUGCCAGAGUAGGAGUUGAAAAUCUUCCUAAACUGCUGGAGGAUACACCUCUGAUAGCUUGAGACAAAUAUCCUCUUGAUCAUUGUUUCACCAUAUUUGUCUUUGCUCAUGGAGAACCAUUUUGAUCCGUGGUUUAGCCUCCCAGGUGAUUGAACAAUAC